AAUCGCUGCACCACACUGCACACCGCCCUUUGCAACGGAUGUAGUGCAGUGAGUAGGAAACAUACUACAACAUACUUUACCAUGCAAUAUCAAUCAAAAAAAGCGGACGCGAAAUGAUACGUACGGGCCUAGGUUGCUAGACAUCCGAGGCUCCUAACGGGCGGGGGCCUACAGGGUAUUUGGGAAAUUCAAUAUUGAGUUUGUUUUGGGCUGCGCUCUCUGUAGCGCGUGGUCCAAGUAACGCAGGCUAAGGUUAAGCAACACCGCAAACAGGGUCUGUCGUAGUAGGCCCAGCGCAAAAACGCAAAGAACGCAAGAGGGCGGUUUGCGACAGACACGCGGGCUACCCCUGCGAGACGGGCGUAAGUAAAUGACCGACGGUUGGUGGUGCGUUUACGUGUGGUUUGGCUUAUAUUUUUGCGCAAUGAUGCUGAGAGGUAACCGUUUUUACGCACUGCUUGAUCCGGUUGCACCUGCUGCCGGAGCCAGUGGGGAAUUGUCGAUUGCAUCUGGCUCGCCAUGCAUGUUCUAGAACUUUUGCAUGCGCCGGGUUUAUUUUGUGCAACACACUCCGUUCGUGUUUUCGUAAGCAUAACGAACGAAAGGAAUAAUUUAUACUUCCUUUGAGGUGGUGGAUUAGACAAGUGCUGUCAUAAGCCGUCCCUGUGUUAUUGCAAACUGAUUAAUCUUUGACUUAUUUUAGCAAAACAAACCAGGUUAUUGGCAAAUCAGCAGACAGCGGAAUUAUGGCUGGCGGUUAAAGCUUUUGUGAUUAAUCAGACUUGCAAAAACUGUUACACCCGGGGUGCAUUUUAUCUGAAUUAUGCAUGCUGGGUGGUUUAUGUGGUGAAUUAUCGAGACGAUAAGUAUUGUUAUUAUAAUGCAAACGAACCGUUGCAAACGCCAUGCCGAAUCACGGGUGGCACGUGAAGCUUGAUUUUGUUUUGUUAUCGUUGUACACAAUCAAACGUUGUUGUUAUUCCCUUCAUCACGAACUGAACGAACGAACUAGCUUCAGUUCAAGUUAAAAGCAGUCAUAACACAACAUUUGUACCCGUUUGUGAAAUUGAUUACGAAGAAAGACUUUACAAUUUACUCACCAUGCGUUCACAGCCGAGACCACGAAGAUAACAAAGUAUGGUGAAAAAGUUCGAAAAAAGGCUUUCAAUUUCAGCCGAGGAAGCGGCACACUCUCUAGCGGCGUAAUAAAAAUAGCACUAAAGCAGCCUCAAGCUUCCCAGGGACAAGGAUUGGUGCGAUAAAAUCUUGCGUCUUGGUGAGCCAAUCUGCAUCGCGUAAGCAAAUUAGAUAGGUUUAGGUUUGGCAAUGACACAUCCCGACAUUUGCUAAAGAGCCACGCUUAAGAUAGCUUCCAAGCUCAACGCGUCAAACGGUUCUGCAUACGCGCUGCGAUCUCCGGCAGCAAACGAACAACUUCAACGCAACGAUAAGCGACGAGCCCGAUCGGACGACGACGAGCAGUCGAAAAACCGGAAUCUGACCGUUUUUGCAUCAUCAUCAUCAUCAUCACCAGCUCCGUCGACUCGUCGCCAAUCGUUUGCUCAUCGUGCUCAUCGUGCACAGGGCAGCUAAUAGGUUUUUGGUUUGGGAGUGUGCAGGCAGGUUCGCGCUCCGAUAAACCUGUUCACGUCGGUCGCCAUGGUCAAAUCGGUCUGCUAGGCGGCCGGCCAAGGGCAAAGGAAGCCUCAAAACAUUGUGUUGGUUCGUGGUUCUUUCCUUAGUGAUGGAUUCUUUGCGAUGGCAGGUCGGAAUUUACACGGCGUGAGGUGCGUUUGAUAAUGGCAUUCCGAGACAGGUGGCACAUCCUCCCUGGCCUUCGCUUCGCUCGGUCAACCCGGUUGACCUACAAAAGAGCACAAGGUAAGCAGCAGGGGCCCUGCUCUUAAAUGAAGACGUUUGAAGGCUCGCUGGCCUUAAAGGGGGAGGGGGGAGGAGAAGGAAGAACCCGAGUGCAGCAAAGAACCUUCGAAGGGCGUUGCUUGCUAUGUUGCUGCUGCCCGGUUCGUCGAACCCUUGUGUGGCCGGCCGUAAACCGUUUCAGUAGGUCAGAUUAUUUAACUUCAACAAGCGAUGUUAUGUCCAACCGGCCCUUUGGUAAGCAUGAGCGCAAUAAAACGCUUGAGGGUCACACCAAUUGAUUGCCUAUCUAAUCGAUAGAAUUCUUGGAAUAGUGUUAUAACACUCGGUUGGCACGGUGAGGCUUAACUAUACAUGGAAGCAUUACAAGCUGAUAUCAUUUGGAAAAUACUGAUCUUCCGUACGAGCUUUUAAAUUACAAAAUUAUAUAAAUAUUGCUUUCAAUUGAAAAAAAACAGCUUAAAUAUUCAAUUUACAGCAACAGCACUACUAUCUUCCUACUCAAUAUUCGCUUACAGAGUAUCAUCGAAUGAAAGCGCAUCAUUUUACACCAAACUCCCUCCCAAAUAAGAACAUUCCACUUGAAGCACCUUCGCAACAUCAAAAGAAACGGUACAUGCGGACACCGGGACAGAACAGAAUCAGCACAAAAAUGCCCACCCCCCACAGAGGGGUAGUGGGUGAAGCGUGGUAUGUGAAACGUGCACGAGCCCAACCGGAAAGUAUAAUGUUUCCGUUACUGUGGUGGCGUCGGCGGCGUGCCGUGUGUGUUGCAAUGCAUUCGUAAAAACAGAACACUGUGCCGAAAUGGCAAUUACAGAACAACACCUCGAACGUGAGCUUGGCGCACCAACCAGACAGGCGCCAGCUGCGAGCGGGGAAAAAAACAGACACAAACAGAGGAAGCUCACCCAAAGCUCAAGGCCAAAUUCCAUCAGCACCAGGCAGGAAAAACUGAUUGAAAAAUGCGCACCGAAACGCGCUGAGGUGAAGUAACAGCGCCCGGCAACAUCAUCGCCGAAUCAGCGUCGAUCAACCAAUUGCUCGAUUAUUAAUGGCACCGUAACCUAAAUAGCGCCGGCUUCAGUACACCGUGUGCGACCAUUUCUUUCUAUGUUCGAUCGCUCGCCAAACGAACGCUUGACAAAUGAAACGUGUAUGUACAGCGUAUGUGUACAGCAUAAAUCCAACACACGAACACACAUGCCAGGUGGUGUUGGUAUUUAAUUUUACCCCAAAAUGUUACCCCUUGUUUCUUCCAUCUUGCUCUCUCCCCUUCAGUGGUCAGAGCCAACAUGUGAAGCAUGUUUGGCAAAGCGUCUGGUGUGAAUUAUGCUUUUGGCUGGCGUAACGACUAGACGACGACGACGGGGACCGGGGCUGGCUGGCUGGCUGGCUGGCAUGUAAUUCUAGUAUCUCGGUCUAAAUUGGACUCCGAGGUUUGCAAAAGGGUGGUUGUUUUGGGGGGUGUGCGCGUGAAACAGCAUUACCAUUAUAUCAUCAGUCCGGCAAACGGCUGGGAUUUGGUAAAAGCGAAGCUUAAUGAGCCGCUUAAAGGUAAGCUUUUCCAAUAAGUAAAUAAAUAGAUUGAUUCAUAACGCUCAUCCAUAAUAUUAGUAAUGCAUCGGAGCAAGCGUUGCGUUGGGGAGGGAAGUUGGUGUGAAAAAUUACCCAUUUAUGGCAAUAAUUAAAUUACAGGAAGACGGCGAUUCCUAUUAGAAUUAUAUUGAUUGCAAGCGUAUUAGAAAAUGUUGUUGCUUAUAUAUGAUUUUCAUACAGAUACAUGACAAAGGUUGACGUACAUACAAUUUUUUGAAUAAAACAAAAAAACAUUAUAAUCAGAUGACAUGCUCCAUUACAAACCACUCGCAUUAACUGCUUUUAAACAAUGGGCCUCAUCGCGAACGAAAGUCGAUAAAAUUUAUCCGAUCGGUUAAUUUGCUCGAAUCCACCGGUGGAAUUUAUUUUCCACCGGUGGAUAAUUUUUUCCACCGGUAGAUAAUUUCUCCACCGGUGGAUAACUCUUUCCGAUUCGAGUAGCCAUUGAUGUUGCAUAUCUGUCAAUCACACUUUUGUUUACAUUUAGAGGUGUUGUUUUGCGGAAUGAAUAAAAUAGUAAAUUUGGCUUAUUUACGGACCAUCUAGUGAAGAAUCCACACCAGGCCUUAGACAGUACUGACUGUAGGCCUAUUCAAACAAUCCGGGUAAAGUGUAAAACGGGCUGUAGGCUGAACAAGUCUAGUUGAAACAAAAUCGUAUGAACUGGAGGACGAGGUUUGAAUCCUUUUUGAGCUUGCCACCUUCACUAACGCUUGUCCUGUCCCAUGCACCAUGUGCGUCCAUCAACUCCAGCCACCGCGAACGUUGGAUCCGUGAACGUCCGUAUUUUACGCCCUCGUGCAAAAAUAUAUUGAAACAACGCGGUACACUUAUUCCGUGCAAUAAGGAGUGUCCGAAACCGCUCACGGUCUCUCGCCCUCGCCAGUCCAUUAUCCUGGUCACUACUUUAACGCUUUGUUCCUUAAUGACUGAUGCCUCCAAGUCAUCUGGCCACUUAAAUUUAAACCUACUACGCCUUCUCCGCAAUUGCGGAUUUAACCGUAAGCGGACUGAUUGGCCGCAGGAGGCUCCGUGGAUAUAAAGUCCAGCAUAUAUGGUGUGUACAGUAGUCUCAUCGUGGACCUCCAUGAACGAUAGAGGCUCCAUGGACGAAGAGACUCAAAGACUACAGGGGCCCAUAUAUGACGAAUUCCGACCAAUACCCCCCACUCCCCCAAGAAAAAAAUUAAAGUGUAUUUGAUUCAAAGCCAAGAGAUGAAAUCUCCCCCCACCCCCUCUCCCUGCACAACACCUGGGUCGUUCGUGCGUUUAACAUGGCCUGUCCACUGAAACCUGGCGAGCUUGAUACGACAAUGAGUGUGCUUCCACACAUACGAUGAUGAUUUCGUCAGAUUUGUUAAAAAUAAAAUAACUACG